rnacentral:snRNA from 1 species
GUGCUUGCUUUGGCAGCACAUAUACUAAAACUGGAUCGAUACAGAGAAGAUUAGCAUGGCCCCUGAGCAAGGAUGACAAGCAAAUUCGUGAGGCAUUCCCUAUUUUU